rnacentral:rRNA from 1 species
GAGUUUGAUCGUGGCUCAGAACGAACGCUGGCGGCAGGCUUAACACAUGCAAGUCGAACGGACGUAGCAAUACGUUAGUGGCGCACGGGUGAGUAACGCGUGGAUAUCUGCCUUUUGGUUCGGGAUAACCUUGGGAAACUAGGGCUAAUACCGAAUGGUUCCUACGGGAUAAAGAUUUAUCGCCAAAAGAUGAGUCCGCGUCCGAUUAGCUAGUUGGCGGGGUAACGGCCCACCAAGGCGACGAUCGGUAGCUGGUCUGAGAGGACGAUCAGCCACACUGGGACUGAGACACGGCCCAGACUCCUACGGGAGGCAGCAGUGGGGAAUAUUGGACAAUGGGGGCAACCCUGAUCCAGCCAUGCCGCGUGAGUGAUGAAGGCCUUCGGGUUGUAAG